GGAUUCGUGGCGCAAUGGUAGCGCGUUUGAUUCCCAAUCAAAAGGUUGCGUGUUCGAUUUACGUUGGGUUCG